GCGCCCCGCGCCCCGCCCGCGGACGCAGCUCGGCCCUGCCGGCUCACCCUAGCUUGACUCCCCGCGAGGGCUGUGGGGAGGGGGCGAGGAGGAGGAGCCGAGGAGGAGCGACGGGGAGGAAGGAUCAGAAAAUGCUGUGUUGAGAGGCACCGCAGAGGUCAACUGGGCCACCUCCCUUAGAUCUCCCUGAGGUUGCAGACCAAAUGAACUCUCUGGCUGCUGCUUUGUCUCCCCACAGCUGGCUCCAGAGGGAGCAGGGUGCAUCACACCCGCUUUCCCACAUCUUCACGCUGAGCUGAGCUGCUCAGCCCUGUGGGUGGAGCUGCAGCAGGUGCUGCCAGGGCCAGUCCCUGAGUCAUCAAACCUGCCGGCUCUUGUACCACAUCUCCUUCCAUCUCGUGUUCAUGUCCAAGCCCUCAUCCAUGCAGUCUCGACCCGGCAUUUACUUACAGCCAGGCUCUCCUGCCUCCACCAUCACCAGGCUAAUCUUUCUAAACCCAGUACGCGGGCCUCUCACUGUUGUGGCCUCUCCCGUUGCGAAGCACAGGCUCCGGACACGCAGGCUCAGCGGCCAUGGCUCAUGGGCCCAGCCACUCAGCGGCAUGUGGGAUCUUCCCGGACUGGGGCACGAACCUGUGUCCCCUGCAUCGGCAGGCGGACUCUCAACCACUGCGCCACCAGGGAAGCCCAGUACUGAAUAGUUUAUGGGAGUAAGGCUGUCUUGGAGAGCUCUAGAUCUGCCCCCAUCCCCAAACAUGGGCAGGGUGGACGCCACUUACAGUGCAAGCCUGCCUUAUCUGAAUGGAGAAUCCUGUGCCCUUGUGCAAGAGCCGACAUGUGUGUUUCACAUUUCUUAGUUGGGCACCCGAGUUCAUGCAGAGACACUUACUUGUUCAAUUCCUGACUUUUAGCCCUGCCCCACCCUGCAGCUGCCUUCAAGUCCCAGCACUGAUAGACUGAGUAGAAGUGGGAGUCAGAGGAAGUAUGAGAACUCAGGACUGCAGAUUCAGAGACUGUGACAGGCUGUGGGAUGACUCUACCCCAGCCUCAGCCCAAGAGCCCUGGAAUUCCAGGACUUUACCUACCAUCACCAAGGAUAUGGCUGGCCACCUGAGACCAUGGGGGAAUGUGCCGUGAAGUGCCGGGAGGUUCCCAAACUCCAUGCAGGGCUACUAAUUUUAAUAUAAGGAAGCAAGACUAGGAUGUGUUUCUACUUAUUUUAGGGAGUGGAAAUCAAAUCAGUCAUAAGUACUCUGUACACACAAAGGGUGACUGUGAUGAGGCUUAAAGCGGAGGAGAAGAGCUAGUAAUAAUAUAGUACCAGUGAUGCUGAUAAUGACCGUAACUACCAAGCGUGAAGAUUAGCUUUGUGCUUAGCAGUAUAUGCUGAACAUUCACUUCUUUCAUUUAAGCCUCUCAAUAAUCCUAUGAUGUGCACGCUAUUAUUAUUUCCAUUUUACGGAUGGAGAAACUGAGGCUUCAAGGCAUGAGCUGCUUUCCCAAAGUCAUACAAAUGUUAAGUGCAGAAGUAGGAUCUGAAUUCCAGCAGUCUUACUCCAGCAACCAUACUGUGGAAGCCGGCGAUGCCUCCUUAAGCCCUGUCUGGGCUUGGAGAGGAUGUCCUCCCUGAUGGACCAGAGCGUGCCAGCCCCUGUGGCUGGUGUGGCAUUCUGAAAGACUGUCUGGCAAGUUUUGCUUGCUCUGGUUUCUCACUAAAACAACCUUUGGAUUUGGCUUCCCAGGCGACUCACAUACAGGAAAAGAGGGCCAUGACCUGCCAACAUGACAGCUGUAUUUUUCACUAGUAACUUAAUAAACUGGCUGCCUGGGUUCACAUACGUACCUGUUUCUGACAGCUUGGUUAAGGUGAGCCCACCCCAGAGCUGAGGCCAUGUGCCAACUUAAUUGAGAUUCUGGGCAUGCAAGCGUAGCCCCCAGCUGAGGCCUCUGUGCCAAGGAAAUUCCUCUUGGCCUCCUUUUGGCUGGUUUGGCCCGCCUUCCCCAGUGACAGUCUGGCUCUUUGGAUUCAAGCUGCCUGGUCAAACUGUGAGGGUCUGCAGAAAGAAGGAAGCAACAGUGCCAGGUUCCAGUGCGUGUUCCAAGUUCCACAUUCUGCCUACAGACGCCCGGUGCCAGAGCAAAGGCUGGCCCUUGGCAGUGGACUGCUCAGAACGUGGAACUCUGGAGACACUCCUGAAACUCUGCCCUAAGUCAAAGGAACCAGAGAGUCCACCAGUUCUCCCUCCACCUCCCUUUCCAGGAGCAGCCACGGCCCUGAGUGAUGUCAAUGUGCAGAAGCAGAUUAAGCAGGUGAUGGCUUUCAUUGAGCAGGAAGCCAGUGAGAAGGCCGAAGAAGUAGACGCCAAGGCUGAGGAAGAGUUCAACAUUGAGAGAGGACGCCUUGUGCAAACCCAAUGACUGAAGAUUAUGGCGUAUUAUGAGAAGAAAGAGAAGCAGAUAGAGCAGCAGAAGAAAAGCCAGAUGUCUACCAUGAGGAAUCAGGCAAGGCUGAAAGUCCUGAGGGCCCGAAACGACCUCAUCUCAGAGUUGCUGAAUGAUGCAAAGCUGAGACUCAGCAGGAUCGUGGCAGACCCAGUAUUUCACCAGGGGCUGCUGGAUAAACUAGUGCUCCAGGGUCUGCUCCGACUGCUGGAGCCUGUGGUGAUUGUACGCUGCAGGCCACAGGACCUCCUCCUGGUGGAGGCUGCAGUGCAAAAAGCCAUCCCUCAAUACACGACAGUCUCCCACAAACGUGUGGAAGUCCAAGUUGACAGAGGGGUGCAACUGGCUACAGAUGCGGCUGGAGGUGUGGAGUUCUACAGUGGUGAUCAGAGAAUAAUGGUUUCCAAUACUCUGGAGAGUCGACUGGAUCUCUUAUCCUGGCAAAAGAUGCCAGAAAUACGAAAGGCCUUGUUUGGAGCCAGUGCCAACAGGAAGUUCUUUAUAUAAGCCUCUAGGAAGUGAAGCUCAUCUUGAAUUUCUAAGCUAUAAAAGCAUGAGUUAUUAGGACAAAGGAAAACAGUAAUACCUCCUCCUCUUUUUUGCUCUGGUAUUAGUCUGUCUUCAUGAAAUACCCUUUGACUAGCUAAAGGCAUUACACUUUGGAAUAAAGCCUGACUUAGUGCUUA